ACUCCUGCGGGAGGCAGCAGUGGGGAAUUUUGGACAAUGGGCGAAAGCCUGAUCCAGCAAUGCCGCGUGUGUGAAGAAGGCCUUCGGGUUGUAAAGCACUUUUGUCCGGAAAGAAAUCCUUGGCUCUAAUACAGUCGGGGGAUGACGGUACCGGAAGAAUAAGCACCGGCUAACUACGUGCCAGCAGCCGCGGUAAUACGUAGGGUGCGAGCGUUAAUCGGAAUUACUGGGCGUAAAGCGUGCGCAGGCGGUUUGCUAAGACCGAUGUGAAAUCCCCGGGCUCAACCUGGGAACUGCAUUGGUGACUGGCAGGCUAGAGUAUGGCAGAGGGGGGUAGAAUUCCACGUGUAGCAGUGAAAUGCGUAGAGAUGUGGAGGAACACCGAUGGCGAAGGCAGCCCCCUGGGUCAAGAUUGACGCUCAUGCACGAAAGCGUGGGGAGCAAACAGGAUUAGAUACCCCGGUAGUCCC
rnacentral:rRNA from 1 species